CCCCUCUCAGGUUCGUACCUGGCGAGUUUCCAGUACUCUACCAGGCUCGGCUACGGGAGGGAGAGUCACACAGAGGUAUACCCAUUCCAUUCCUAGCUUGGCUAGUGGCUAGUGAGUGGAAGGCAACUUGCUACAAGU